CAAUAGCGUAUAUUAAAGUUGUUGCAGUUAAAAAGCUCGUAGUUGGAUUUCUGGUAGGAGCGACCGUGCCGAACUUGAUUGUUCGAGUAUUGUGUUGUCCUCAGCCAUCCUCGUGGAGAACUUUUCUAACAUUAACUUGUUGGGAUUGGGACCCGCGUCGUUUACUGUGAAAAAAUUAGAGUGUUUAAAGCAGGCAUUAGCUUGAAUACAUUAGCAUGGAAUAAUAAGAUAGGACUUUGGUACUAUUUUGUUGGUUUGCAUACCAAAUUAAUGAUCAACAGGAACAGUUUGAGGAUAUUCGUAUGAACAUGUCAGAGGUGAAAUUCUUGGAUUUUGAUCAGACGAACUACUGCGAAAGCAUUUAUCAAGGAUGUUUUCAUUAA
rnacentral:rRNA from 1 species